AAUGGCUAUUCAGAUGAAAAGUUCUGCUAUGAUGGCUAUACGAACGAAAAAUUCUGCUUUAAACAAUAGUCUAACGAAAAUUCCUGCUCUGAUGAAUAAUUUUAAGAAAAAUCCUGCUGUUGUGUAUAAUCUAAAGAAAAACCCCUGCUGUUUCAAGUGUUUGGACCAUUUUUUGGACAAUCCUGCUAUGAGAUCCAAUUUGGACCAUUUUUGGAACAGUCCUGCUAUGAGAACCAAUUUGGACCAUUUUUGGGACUAUCCUGCUAUGAGAACCAAUCUAAAAACAAAUUCUGCUGUGAUGGCUAUUUGACGAAAUAUUCUGCUGUGAUGGCUAUUUGAUGAAAUAUUCUGCUGUGAUGGCUAUUUGACGAAAUAUUCUGCUGUAAUAGGUAAUCUAACGAAAUUCCUGAUGUGAUGGAUAAUGUAAAGAAAAUGAUGGGUAAUCUAAUGAAAAAUCUUGCACUGGUGAAAAUGGGAAAAUUGGAUAGAGCUAAAGGAUUAUUUUACAAGUCACUUCAGCUAUGCCCUUCAACCAAGGUACUAUAUACAGAUGCUGUGGGUUAUUUUGGUGAUUCUAUAUUACAAGAAAUAGUUGAUUUGAUGACAGAGAAGGAACUGCGAAUACAUUUACCACUAGAAGAGAUGGACAUUUUAAUGAUUUCUGAUCCAUCUUAAUUAGGUGUAAUACUUUAAAGAGAUAUUUUCACUUUGUUGGCCUAUUGAGACGCGAGAUAUUUUCGAAAUCUGUCAAUUUGUUUUUACCAGGUAAACUUUACCUGUAUAUGUUAUACAGAUCAAGUGAGUGAACUCAUUUUGAAUAUGGCAUCAAAUUCUAUGUCUGGGUAAUGAUAUAAUAUUUAUUGGCUUAAUAUUUUGUAUUGUCAAAUAUUACGAAAAAAUUAAACAUUAUCUUUUCAUGAUUGAAACAUGUAAUUGAGAGUGUCUCUAAAAAUGGCCAAUUCAAGCCUAUUGAUUUCAACGAUGUCCGAUAAUUACUGCUAGAGUUAUGGCCCUUGAUCACUUUGAAAAAUCUUGUGGAUGCUUUAGGGGGCAAAGUUAAUAUCCGAUUGCUAAAGUUAUACACAGUGUUUAAAGCUAAACUCCGGUUACAAAAAUACCGAAAUAAUUAAAUAAAAAAAAAGUUAACACCCCCAAGCCGCCAUACUUGUUUCCAAUUUGUGAAAUAAAUAUGGCAGACAUGGAGGCUUAUGACCUGGAAAGGUUAGCCGAUCUCACUUCCAGUUUGUUUCUUGUCAGCCACCUGUACCCAUCCGGCCUUAUUCUCUACACACGCUUCACUGAUUGCUCUAUGGUGGCUGAUUGGUAUCAUGUCGUGGUGUCGAGCUUCAUAAGGCGACAACCCGACAUCGCGACAUUAUAACCCGACACCACGACAACCCGACAUUUUUAACCCGAUACUACGACAUUUUCACCCGACACCACGACAUUAAGAAUGUUGUUGUGGUGUCGCGUAAAAAUGUCGGAUUGUCGCGUAAAAAUGUCGUGAUGUCGACUUUAUUUAUCAAUGUUGAAGCGGUCACGAGAUCAAGUCAGCCCUCACUAUCUCAUCCUUCACUAAGAAUACUUACCCUUUACUAACUGCGAAUCAAGCUGGCCCUCACUAUAUCAAAUUACAGGUCUUAAUACAAAAUUCCAGAUAUCAUGCUACAUAUCAGUAGAAAGCACGUUCACCGUUCUUUUCAGAUAUAUAAAUAAUUUUCUGGCACAUCUAUAUUUACUUGCCCUGAGAGGUGAUAAAGACGAAUGGUACAAAACUCUAUUAAAUGAUGGGGAUAGGGGUAUUCAAAGUAAAAAUACGGGUCUUAAUACGCAAUUCCAGAUAUUAUGUUAUAUAUCACUGAAAAGCACUUUCAUUUCUCUUUUCAAAGAUAUAAAUAAUUUUCUGUCACAUUUAUAUUUACUUACCUUGACAAACUAUCAAAGUUGGAUAAUACUGAUCUCUAUUAAGUAAUUACGCGGGGGGUGGAGGUAUUCAAUGUCUAAUUACGGGUUCUAAUACGAAAUUCUAGAUAUCAUGCUACAUAUCAGUAGAAAACACGUUCAAAUAUAUAAUUAAUUUUCUGGCACAUUUCUAUUUACUUGCCUUGAAAAAUGAAAAGGGGGGGGGGGGGUAUUUGAAAUAAAAAUGCUGGGCUUAAUCCAAAAUUCCAUAUAUCUAUACUGAAAAGUAAAGUUAAUCCUCUCUUGAAAUGUAUUUAUCAUAUUUUCGGCAGAAUGCAUAUAUACUUUUUAAAAUUUAAAUUGAUACAAGUUUGGUAGCCUUCACUGGCUGAAUUAAAGAGAGUGGUGGGGGUGGGCGAGUGUUUAAUGUCAAAAUAUGUGUUAUACGAAAUUCCAGUUAUUGUGUCAUACAUCACCGGAAAGUGGGUUUCUGUGGCUCUUUAAAUCUACUUGUAUUGUCUGGCACAUUCAUAAUUCCAUACUUUAGAAGAGAUAAAAGCAUUUUUAUUUUGAGCAAAGAAAUGGGUUACUAAAAAUAGACUACUUUCAAUUCAUUUUAUUUAUCGAAGGCUCGAAUUAGCCCAUACCGAGCAAAUGAUUACACUCAAGUCAUGGUCAUCCAGCGAAUGUGGUAGUGAGGGCCAGGUUGAUUCGCAGUUAGUGAAGGUUAAGUAUUCUUAGUGAAGGAUGAGAUAGUGAGGGCUGACUUGAUCUCGACAAGAGAGAGAGAGAAAUGGGGUUUAACAUCCACUCGACACAAACUAGGUCAUUUCGGGACUAACACACGGUUCAAUUUUAUUUCAAUAAUUCGCUUGUGCGUAGGGGUCUUUAGCAGUGGGAUGAAACCGGAGGACCCGGAGAAAAACCCCUGAGGUUGGACAGGCGACCCUACUCCUUGUCACGUACAACCAGGGAAUCGAAACCCCUCCAGUUGACUCAAUGACAGACUGUAUGAUACAGCGCGCGUGCUAACCAUUCGGCCAUCCAACCCCCCUGAUCUCGACAAAGGACAGCACUCUAUUAUUCAUGGCCGCUUCAACAUUGAUAAAUAAAGCCGACAUCACUACAUUUUUACGCGACAAUACAAUAUUUUUACGCGACAUUACAACAUUAUUAAUGUUGUGGUGUCGGGUGAAAAUGUCGUGUUGUCAGGUUAUGUUGUGAUGUCGCCUUAUGAAGGGCGACACCACGACAUCACGACAUGAUACCAAUCAGCCACCAUACACAAUUAUUAUCCAAUUUAAAAUACAGGUCUACCCCCCCCCCCCAAAAAAAAAAAAUCUCGGUUCCUUUCUAUUGGCAUGUAUCGGAACAUAACUUCAUGGAUUAUGACCCCUGAUUGUACGAAAAAUCACGUUUUUAACUUUUGGACACUCUAUAGAGGUCACAAUUUUCCGAUGCGCAAAUAUCGAAAGGAACCAAGAUCUUUGGGUUAUAAACUUACAUUUCAAGUUUCAUCAAAAUCAGAAGAAAAUUUUCACCUCUAGAGAGUCCACAACCUUGAUAUAUAUUUUUACGUCAUUUUGUCUGUCAGUUUUGGUCCGAUUUUCACGAAAUUCGAACUCUACCAUUCUUAGGGGGUAAAGGUGAUAUAUUCAAAGGUUUUUCUUUAAAUCGGAUAAUAAUUGUGACCUCUAGAGGUACCUCGAGCUAAAAACUCGAUUUUUCGUACAAUCAGGGGCCAUAAUUCAGGAAGUUACAAUCCGAUAUGAGCGAAUAUCGAAAGGAACUGAGAUCUUUGGGUUAUAAACUUAUAUUUCAAGUUUCAUCAAAAUCAGAAGAAAAUUGUGACCUCUAGAGAGUCGAAAACCUUGAUAUAUCAUAUUUUUACGCUAUUUGAGUAUGAGAGGCGACCAUUUUAUCUCACAGUUUUGGUCCGAUUUUUACAAAAUUCGAACUCAACCAUCCUUAGGGUGUAACGGUGAUCUAUUCAAACGUUUUUUUUAAAUCGCUUCAAAUUAUGACCCCUAUAGGGUCCACAAGCUAAAAAUGUGAUUUUUCGUACAAUCAGGGGCCAUAAUUCAGGAACUUGCAGUCCGAUAUGCGCGAAUAUUGAAAGGAACCGAGAUCUUUGGGUUUUAAACUUACAUUUCAAGUUUCAUUAAAAUCAGAAGAAAAUUGUGACCUCUAUAGGGUGUCCACAACCUCGAUAUACAAUAUUUUUACGCUAUUUGAGAAUGAGGGACGGCCAUUUUGCCUUAGGUAGUAACGGUGAAAUACUAAAACGUUUUUUUUUAAAUCGGAUAAAAAUUAUGACCUCUAUAGGGUCCACAUGCUAAAAACGCGAUUUUUUCGUACAAUCAGGGGCCAUAAUUUAGGAAGUUAAUUACGAUCCAAUAUAUGCAAAUAUCGAAAGGAACCAAGAUCUUGGGGUUAUAAACUUACAUUUCAAGUUUUAACAAAAUCGGAUAAAAAUUGUGACCUCUAUUGGGUGUCCACAACCUUGAUAUACCAUAUUUUUACGCUAUUGGAGAAUGAUGGAAGGCCCAAAAAAUUUUUUUCUUAUAAGAAUGGGCCAUAAUCCAUGAAGUUUCGGUGCGAUACAUGCCAAUAUCGAAAGCAACCAAGAUCUUUUGGAGAUAAACCUAUAUUUCCAGUUUCGUCAAAAUCGGAUAAGAAUUGUGACCUGUAGAGUGUCCACAAACAAUUGUGGACGGACAGGGGCGACGGCAAUAUACGUCCACAUGAAAAUGUGGGCGUAUAAAAAUCAUGUUUUUAGCUUGUCCCUGUGAAGGUCACAAUUUUUAUCUGAUUUAAAAAAAAAUCUGUAUGAUUAUAUCACACUAAGAUCUUGGUUCCUUUUGAUAAUCUCGCAUAACCGAAUGUAACUUCCUGGAUUAAUGCCCCUGAUUGUUCGUAUAUUUAGCUUGCAGAUUCUCCAGAGGUCACAAUUUUUUUUCAGAUUUUAAAAAACGUUUAAAUAUAUUGCCAUUCCACCAUAAUGAAGGUUGAAUUCGAAUUUCGGGAAAAUCGAAAUGAAACUGCCCGACAAAAGGCCCGCUCUUUGUACGCAAAUUGUGUAAAAGUAUGUAAUAUGAAGGUUAUGGACCCUCUAGAAGUAACAAUUUUUAUCUGAUUUUGAUGAAACUUAAAACAUAUCCCAAAGAUCAAAGUCCCUUUUGAUAUUUGUGCAUUUCAGACCAUAACUUUCUGGAUUAUUGCCUGUUUGUUUUUAGUUGUUCUCUAUCCAUCUCUUCCAAAAUGUAGGCGUAUCCUGCCUGGCAGCCGCUGGUUCAUUUAAAAAGUUGAUCAAUCCUAAUCUGUCUAAUUCUUCGAGAUUACAUACUAAGCUGAAAACAUUUUUUCUUUAAAAUUGAAAAUGCCUCAGGUGAUACACAUUUGAUAACACAUUUAAUAUGUUUGUUUGUAAUUAUAAUAGUUUAACAAAAAUAAAAAUGAUUGGGGUGCCCAAGUUUAGAUUUGUCAUUGAUUCCAUAAAGUAGUUAGGAUUUUAAACGUUAAAUACUGUGUAAUUCAACAUAACGAGAUCGUAAGAACAGAGAGUGAGAUAAUUUACAUCCCACUUCUACUCGUUGCCACUGGCAACCUUUGAUAAAACUGUCCUGUUUAUUUGCAAUACAUGCAUAAAAGUAUCCGUGUAUCAGAAAU